GAAUAAAAAAUUCUUCAUAAGAAGGAAUAUAAGGGCUGAUACCAUGCAAAAUUAUGAAUGAUUUAUGAUUGAUCCUGGGCUAUGUACAAGGAUGACUAACUAUAUUUAAUCUAGUGCUUAAUUGUGCAUUAUAUAUAAUUAGGCUAAUGGUAAUUACAAGUACAGAACAACAUGGUGGAGAAAUCAAGGUUAUGAAUCAGACUUGUUUCUCUAACAAUCUACAUGACAAUUGUGGAUGCAAAUUUUUGUCGUCUUCUCAUUUGAUGAAAAUGCACCGGCAAAAUAAUAACACCUAAGAUUAAGGCCAAAAGCCUCACACGCUACAAUGAAUGAGGGGGCUUUGGCUGAAGAAUCUUCGAUGCCAAAGUUAGAAUUUGAGAGAGAAAGUGUUUAGGAAUUUUUAGG
rnacentral:lncRNA from 1 species